UACAGGCAUUAAGAAGUUUGGUGUGCCUGUGAUAAACUCAGUUAGUGCUCCAACGUGUCAGUCUGGUGAAUCCAGCAAGGUAAAGCCUAACGAUGAUGAUGAAGUAUUAAGAUUAAUCAAUAAAAGUGAGUUUAAUAUGGUGGAGCAGUUGCUCCAAACUCCGUCAAAGAUUGCAAUGUUGCCUCUGUUGAUGAAUUCUGAAGCACACAGAGAAG
rnacentral:lncRNA from 1 species